rnacentral:rRNA from 1 species
AGUGAACGCUGGCGGUAGGCCUAACACAUGCAAGUCGAACGGCAGCACAGUAAGAGCUUGCUCUUACGGGAGGCGAGUGGCGGACGGGUGAGGAAUACAUCGGAAUCUACUUUUUCGUGGGGGAUAACGUAGGGAAACUUACGCUAAUACCGCAUACGACCUACGGGUGAAAGCAGGGGAUCUUCGGACCUUGCGCUAUGGAAUGAGCCGAUGUCGGAUUAGCUAGUUGGCGGGGUAAAGGCCCACCAAGGCGACGAUCCGUAGCUGGUCUGAGAGGAUGAUCAGCCACACUGGAACUGAGACACGGUCCAGACUCCUACGGGAGGCAGCAGUGGGGAAUAUUGGACAAUGGGCGCAAGCCUGAUCCAGCCAUACCGCGUGGGUGAAGAAGGCCUUCGGGUUGUAAAGCCCUUUUGUUGGGAAAGAAAAGCAGCAGGUUAAUACCCCGCUGUUCUGACGGUACCCAAAGAAUAAGCACCGGCUAACUUCGUG